GAUCCCGUUAGUCGCCUUUUACGACAAGCAUGGCUUGCUGAAGACCCAUUCUAACCCGGAUCUACACUUGGGGUAUUUUUGUUUCUAGAGCCUACAGAUGUAUUAACUGCUGUCGUCAAAUGGAAUGAAUCAACUACGGUUCUAACGAAAUUCUCCAAGACACAAGAGUUUGAAGAUCGAAAGUUGUGAAACGGCCUAAACCUCUGGACACUGAUGUACAUUUGCUGUGGACGCGACACGGAAUGUGACUGUUUCCACAUUCACGUUGAUUGUUUGUUGUUUCACUCAAAGUGUAUAACAAUGAAGCAUGUCUUUGUGUA